GAGUUUGAUCAUGGCUCAGAUUGAACGCUGGCGGCAGGCCUAACACAUGCAAGUCGAGCGGAUGACGGGAGCUUGCUCCUUGAUUCAGCGGCGGACGGGUGAGUAAUGCCUAGGAAUCUGCCUGGUAGUGGGGGACAACGUUUCGAAAGGAACGCUAAUACCGCAUACGUCCUACGGGAGAAAGCAGGGGACCUUCGGGCCUUGCGCUAUCAGAUGAGCCUAGGUCGGAUUAGCUAGUUGGUGGGGUAAUGGCUCACCAAGGCGACGAUCCGUAACUGGUCUGAGAGGAUGAUCAGUCACACUGGAACUGAGACACGGUCCAGACUCCUACGGGAGGCAGCAGUGGGGAAUAUUGGACAAUGGGCGAAAGCCUGAUCCAGCCAUGCCGCGUGUGUGAAGAAGGUCUUCGGAUUGUAAAGCACUUUAAGUUGGGAGGAAGGGCAGUAAGUUAAUACCUUGCUGUUUUGACGUUUACCGACAGAAUAAAGCACCGGCUAACUCUGUGCCAGCCG
rnacentral:rRNA from 1 species